AUGAGUCGGUUUGAUCUCUCUGCCAUGUUCCUGCAGGCUGUGGCGGCCAUAUUGGUUUAUGAACUGCAGACAGAGCGGGGUGAGGAGGGACAUUCUGGACAGACGUUCUGCAGGGAGCGGGGUGAGGAGGGAUGUUCUGGACAGACGUUCUGCAGGGAGCAGGGUGAGGAGGGACGUUCUGAACAGACGCUCUGGAGGGAGCGGGGUGAGGAGGGACGUUCUGGACAGACGCUCUGGAGGGAGCGGGGUGAGGAGGGACGUUCUGGACAGACGCUCUGGAGGGAGCGGGGUGAGGAGGGACGUUCUGGACAGACGCUCUGGAGGGAGCGGGGUGAGGAGGGACGUUCUGGACAGACGCUCUGCAGGGAGCGGGGUGAGGAGGGACGUUCUGGACAGACGCUCUGGAGGGAGCGGGGUGAGGAGGGACGUUCUGGACAGACGUUCUGCAGGGAGCGGGGUGAGGAGGGACGUUCUGGACAGACGUUCUGCAGGGAGCAGGGUGAGGAGGGACGUUCUGAACAGACGCUCUGGAGGGAGCGGGGUGAGGAGGGACGUUCUGGACAGACGCUCUGCAGGGAGCGGGGUGAGGAGGGACGUUCUGGACAGACGCUCUGCAGGGAGCGGGGUGAGGAGGGACGUUCUGGACAGACGCUCUGGAGGGAGCGGGGUGAGGAGGGACGUUCUGGACAGACGCUCUGCAGGGAGCGGGGUGAGGAGGGACGUUCUGGACAGACGCUCUGCAGGGAGCGGGGUGAGGAGGGACGUUCUGGACAGACGCUCUGGAGGGAGCGGGGUGAGGAGGGACGUUCUGGACAGACGCUCUGGAGGGAGCGGGGUGAGGAGGGACGUUCUGGACAGACGUUCUGCAGGGAGCGGGGUGAGGAGGGACGUUCUGGACAGACGCUCUGGAGGGAGCGGGGUGAGGAGGGACGUUCUGGACAGACGUUCUGGAGGGAGCGGGGUGAGGAGGGACGUUCUGGACAGACGUUCUGCAGGGAGCGGGGUGAGGAGGGACGUUCUGGACAGACGCUCUGGAGGGAGCGGGGUGAGGAGGGACGUUCUGGACAGACGUUCUGCAGGGAGCGGGGUGAGGAGGGACGUUCUGGACAGACGUUCUGCAGGGAGCGGGGUGAGGAGGGACGUUCUGGACAGACGUUCUGCAGGGAGCGGGGUGAGGAGGGACGUUCUGGACAGACGUUCUGGAGGGAGCGGGGUGAGGAGGGACGUUCUGGACAGACGCUCUGGAGGGAGCGGGGUGAGGAGGGACGUUCUGGGUUCCUGUCGGCGUUCGGCUGCAGAGUUUUGUCGUUCUGGAGUUCAUUAAAAGUCGUGUUAGAACCCGGAGAACGAGGACGCAGUACCCAGCACUUCCUGAAGAUCGGUUCAGGACAGACUCUGACGUUCUGCUGA
rnacentral:lncRNA from 1 species